UUACCAAAGCCAUUUUUAAAUAUGUUUACUUUCUUCAAAAGACACAUUAUUUGUAAUGUCUGUUUUAAGCUUAAAUUUGUUUGCAUUUGAAACUUUUUGCAAACUCUCAGUUUUCAUUGAACCCUCUGAUGUCUUUAAUCAGUUGGAAGGAACCCAGGAACUUUCUGAGAACCAGAAAUCCGUGGUCCUCUCUGUGAGCUGCCCUGGGACUUGCCUGGUGUUACGUCAGAAAACAGGUGGUGGCUCAGGGAGAAAAUUCUUCUCCAUGCCGGUCUUGGAAGAACUACCAAGCAAGUGAAGCAAAUUAAGAGAGGCCUGAAAGACACUGGUGUUUCGGAGCUUUUCAGCUCUGGACCAGACACUGUGCCAAUCUUGUUCCCAAGGGCCACUGAGACAGAGAUAACAUCUCAAAUGAUUCUGGACGAGAUUAUCUGGCCACAGGAGGAAGAUGUUGAUGAAGACAUCCUCACGCUGGAGGACCAGUGCUGUGUGCUGGGCUUUUUCUGGAAGUUUAUAGAAACUGGUAUUUUGCCACAUUUGAUGUUAUAAUAACUUAAUUUCUAAGAUUUAUAUAUGAUACGAUAGAAUAUGACAACAGUUGCUGAUACUGUUUUGGGGGAGUCUUUUUCAGGGUCCUCUGAGGUCUUGAAGAGUUUGCUGUCAUUCUGGACUGGCUGGCAUGUCCUUCCCCCAUCACUGGAGGUGGAAGUUGUUAAUUGUGACCUUCCCCAAUCAUCAACAUGCUUUUUAACUCUAAAGCUUUCGAAAAAUACCGCAAAUUAUGAAGAUUUCCACCGAGACCUGAUGGCGAGCAUCUCCUCCUCCUCCUCUGGAUUCGGUCAGAUUUGAGCCAAAGACAACAUUAACACUUUUUUUGUUGAAAAGCUUUAUUUGCAUUUUUUGUUUAAUAAAAUUGGUGAGAUUUCAUACAUGCAUUACUGUUAACUGUUCAAUUAGAACAAUGUUCAAUAAAAAGGUUUCAUUUACA